rnacentral:rRNA from 1 species
CGGGGGCCCGCACAAGCGGUGGAGCAUGUGGUUUAAUUCGAUGCAACGCGAAGAACCUUACCUACUCUUGACAUCCACGGAACUUAGCAGAGAUGCUUUGGUGCCUUCGGGAACCGUGAGACAGGUGCUGCAUGGCUGUCGUCAGCUCGUGUUGUGAAAUGUUGGGUUAAGUCCCGCAACGAGCGCAACCCUUAUCCUUUGUUGCCAGCGGUCCGGCCGGGAACUCAAAGGAGACUGCCAGUGAUAAACUGGAGGAAGGUGGGGAUGACGUCAAGUCAUCAUGGCCCUUACGAGUAGGGCUACACACGUGCUACAAUGGCAUAUACAAAGAGAAGCGACCUCGCGAGAGCAAGCGGACCUCAUAAAGUAUGUCGUAGUCCGGAUUGGAGUCUGCAACUCGACUCCAUGAAGUCGGAAUCGCUAGUAAUCGUGGAUCAGAAUGCCACGGUGAAUACGUUCCCGGGCCUUGUACACACCGCCCGUCACACCAUGGGAGUGGGUUGCAAAAGAAGUAGGUAGCUUAACCUUCGGGAGGGCGCUUACCACUUUGUGAUUCAUGACUGGGGUGAAGUCGUAACAAGGUAACCGUAGGGGAACCUGCGGUUGGAUCACCUCCUUA